rnacentral:rRNA from 1 species
AGAGUUUGAUCAUGGCUCAGAACGAACGCUGGCGGCAGGCCUAACACAUGCAAGUCGAACGAUAAGCCACCUUCGGGUGGUGGACAGUGGCAGACGGGUGAGUAACGCGUGGGAACGCGCCUUUCGGUUCGGAAUAACCCAGGGAAACUUGGGCUAAUACCGGAUACGCCCUUCGGGGGAAAGAUUCAUUGCCGAAAGAUCGGCCCGCGUCGGAUUAGCUAGUUGGUGGGGUAAUGGCUCACCAAGGCGACGAUCCGUAGCUGGUCUGAGAGGAUGACCAGCCACACUGGGACUGAGACACGGCCCAGACUCCUACGGGAGGCAGCAGUGGGGAAUAUUGGACAAUGGGCGCAAGCCUGAUCCAGCCAUGCCGCGUGGGUGAAGAAGGCCUUAGGGUUGUAAACCCCUUUCAGCGGGGAAGAUAAUGACGGUACCCGCAGAAGAAGUCCGGCUAACUACGUGCCAGCAGCCGCGGUA